UGUAGUCCAAUGGUAGGACAACGCACUGUUAAUGCGUCAUAUGCGGGUUCGAGCCCCGCCGAUGA
rnacentral:tRNA from 1 species